UACGAAGGGGGCUAGCGUUGUUCGGAAUCACUGGGCGUAAAGCGCACGUAGGCGGAUUUUUAAGUCAGGGGUGAAAUCCCGAGGCUCAACCUCGGAACUGCCUUUGAUACUGGAGAUCUUGAGUCCGGAAGAGGUAAGUGGAACUGCGAGUGUAGAGGUGAAAUUCGUAGAUAUUCGCAAGAACACCGGUGGCGAAGGCGGCGACCUGGUCCGAGACUGACGCUGAGGCGCGAAAGCGUGGGGAGCAAACAGG
rnacentral:rRNA from 1 species